GGCUGAAGCACGUUCAUCAGCCACACAGAAUUACUGGCUAAAUUUCUCUCUUUAUUAGCAAGGGAGAAUGAAACACCCAGGAGCUGAGGAUUUUGCAAUGGGAAGAGGCCAAUUGCAGAGGGAGGAGGAUCAGACUGUGAUUAGUUGUGAGAGGUAUGAAGCUUCUAAUUAUACAGGCAAUCCCUAUGCUCCUCCCCUGCAGCCUGGCAGAAGAGGAUAGAGACACAGAGCUGGGAGAUGGGGCCCCACAUUUGGGAGGAGAACUCCUUCCAUAUCACUCACUCUAACAGGCUCUUUGGGGGAACUAUAGGGAGAUUAGUUUUCCCCAAACACAGGUUGACCCUUUCCCUGGGCCGUUCUGUGGGUAUCGGGCACUGGGCUAUGUACAAACAGCACAGCCCUCCUCUGACAUUGUAAUGGGAGCUGAAGAAACAGUGGCAAGUGGUUCCCUACAGCCUUUUUAUCCUUUGUGAUGCCUGUAACAGAGUACUGAGUGAUGUGUGAAUGGGACACUUAUCCCAAGUGGAACCUCACUGAAGACAGACAACAAUGAAAUUGCUACCAGACAAUGUUUUCAAUCUGUAAAGUCUAUUUUGGGAAAGAGACAUACUUUUUCUUAAAGCUGUCUGAAAAGCAGAGUUUGCUGUUCAUGAGAAGUCUUUCCAACUGGAGUGGCAGCAGCUCAACUGAAAAAAAAUGCCAGUUUUCCUUAGAAGCUACAGAGAAAUCCCAGAAAUGGUGGUACGGGAUGAGCCCCACUUGGACACAGACAUGGUGAGCCCAAAUGAGGGUUUUCAAGCUUCUAGUCCUUGCUGUGUGACCUUGAAAGCUUGGGGAAUGAGGAAUCUAUCUGUCUUCUACCUCACUGCUGCAAAACUGGAGGAGAGCCCUAAUUAUGUGGAUGGUUCCCAGUUUUCCAGGGAUUCCGCAGGGACAUCUGAACAUAGACCAGGAUAAUGGGGGUCAGCUAUACUGUCUUGACUACUUGACUCAAAAGACAAGCCAUGAAUAUUGCUUGUGACCAGGCGAGGCAGGCUCUUAAGCAGAUUAGACGAUUUUUGGUUGAAGUGGUUCUUGAAGAGCAACAUGGCUCCCGGUUCCAAGGCUGUCAGCCAGGAAAAGGAGUUUUUUUGAAGCUGGGCUUUGGGAUGAUAAAAAUUCACCAGACCAAAAUAAUUUCAGAUGAACAUUUUGAUACUAACAUACUGGCUUUGUUGGAACAUUUCUAGAAGCCCUAUAUAUAUAUAACUAUCUUCAGAAAUAAUAAACAGUAAGGGAGUAACAUUCUGAAAUAUUUUCCUAAGAGUUUUAGAGAAUCUUAUGGUGAAAAUAUGUGUUGUGGAUCUGCUUUAUGUUCUGUAAACCUGAAGAUGGUGGCUCUGUGGGAUUUGAUUAAUAUCAUAGCGUGCUAUUUAAGUCAAUGAAGUCUAACUUUUAAAAAUUACAAGCCAAGUCCUCAGGUUUCUCUGCAGUAUAUCAAAUAUUUCAUUAGACAUUAUUGUAGUUCUCAUGGCUGUUUUUUUAUUUUAUUUAAAAAAAAAUAUAUCUGUAGAGUCGGUUAAAUGGCAUUGUGGUUAAGAAACCCCACAUUGGAGGUGUAAAUUUACAUAUUUUCCUAAAUUUUCCAAAAUUGGCUAGAACAUAUUUCUGACUCAAAACAAAACAAAACAAAAC